CCUACGGGGGGCAGCAGUGAGGAAUAUUGGUCAAUGGACGAGAGUCUGAACCAGCCAAGUCGCGUGAAGGAUGACUGCUCUAUGGGUUGUAAACUUCUUUUAUAUGGGAAUAAAACGUUCCACGUGUGGGAUUUUGUAUGUACCAUAUUAAUCAGGAUCCGCUAACGCCGUGCCAGCAGCCGCGGUAAUACGGAGGAUCCGAGCGUUAUCCGGAUUUAUUGGGUUUAAAGGGAGCGUAGGGGGAUUGGUAAGUCAGUCGUGAAAGUUUGUGGCUCAACCGUAGAAUUGCAGUUGAAACUGGGAGUCUUGAGUACAGUAGAGGUAGGCGGAAUUCGUGGUGUAGCGGUGAAAUGCUUAGAUAUCACGAAGAACACCGAUUGCGAAGGCAGUUCACUGGACUGCAACUGACAUUGAGGCUCGAAAGUGUGGGGAUCAAACAGGAUUAGAUACCCCGGUAGUC
rnacentral:rRNA from 1 species